GUUCGUGGAAGUUUUUGCCCUUCUUCCUCUGGAGGAGUUUCUUGACCUGAAAGAGGAGGACAAGAAGGACGCAAAGAAGGAGGAAGAAGAGAAAAAGCGUAGGUAUAGGAAGAUCCCCAAAACGUUUGCGAACUGGCUACGGGCAUUUUGUAUAUUGGCCAGUGUUAUCGGGGAAAAAUUCCCCGACCGCUGCUCACAACUUUUUUGUUAUCUGGACGGGAUUGGGGACGCGUACCGAACAUACGG